rnacentral:rRNA from 1 species
UGAGGAAUAUUGGUCAAUGGACGAGAGUCUGAACCAGCCAAGUAGCGUGCAGGAUGACGGCCCUAUGGGUUGUAAACUGCUUUUGUUUGGGAAUAAUCGACAUUACGUGUAAUGUUUUGCAUGUACCAUUCGAAUAAGGACCAGCUAAUUCCGUGCCAGCAGCCGCGGUAAUACGGAAGGUCCAGGCGUUAUCCGGAUUUAUUGGGUUUAAAGGGAGUGUAGGCGGUUGGUUAAGCGUGUUGUGAAAUGUAGAUGCUCAACAUCUGACUUGCAGCGCGAACUGGCUGACUUGAGUACACACAACGUAGGCGGAAUUCAUGGUGUAGCGGUGAAAUGCUUAGAUAUCAUGAAGAACUCCGAUUGCGAAGGCAGCUUACGGGAGUGUUACUGACGCUUAAGCUCGAAGGUGCGGUUAUCGAACAGG